rnacentral:rRNA from 1 species
AUUGAACGCUGGCGGCAGGCCUAACACAUGCAAGUCGAGCGAGCGGCGGACGGGUGAGUAAUGUAUGGGGACUGCCCGAUAGAGGGGGAUAACUACUGGAAACGGUAGCUAAUACCGCAUACUGAUGGCUGACCCGCGGUGCAUUGGCUAGUUGGUGAGGUAACGGCUAACCAAGGCCACGAGGCAUAGCCGACCUGAGAGGGUGAUCGGCCACACUGGGACUGAGACACGGCCCAGACUCCUACGGAGGCAGCAGUGGGGAAUAUUGCACAAUGGGCGCAAGCCUGAUGCAGCCAUGCCGCGUGUAUGAAGAAGGCCCUAGGGUUGUAAAGUACUUUCAGUCGGGAGGCGUUACCGACAGAAGAAGCACCGGCUAACUCCGUGCCAGCCGCCGCGGUAAUUC